AUUGAACGCUGGCGGCAGGCUUAACACAUGCAAGUCGAGCGGAGAUGAGGUGCUUGCACCUUAUCUUAGCGGCGGACGGGUGAGUAAUGCUUAGGAAUCUGCCUAUUAGUGGGGGACAACAUUCCGAAAGGAAUGCUAAUACCGCAUACGUCCUACGGGAGAAAGCAGGGGAUCUUCGGACCUUGCGCUAAUAGAUGAGCCUAAGUCGGAUUAGCUGGUUGGUGGGGUAAAGGCCUACCAAGGCGACGAUCUGUAGCGGGGCUGAGAGGAUGAUCCGCCACACUGGGACUGAGACACGGCCCAGACUCCUACGGGAGGCAGCAGUGGGGAAUAUUGGACAAUGGGGGAAACCCUGAUCCAGCCAUGCCGCGUGUGUGAAGAAGGCCUUAUGGUUGUAAAGCACUUUAAGCGAGGAGGAGGCUACUGAGACUAAUACUCUUGGAUAGUGGACGUUACUCGCAGAAUAAGCACCGGCUAACUCUGUGCCAGCAGCCGCCGUAA
rnacentral:rRNA from 1 species